ACUUUUCUCUAAAUUUUUCCUUCUCUAAAAAGAGUCCCACCACUCUAUUCCAAGCCUUGAGAAUAGCUAGGAAGAUCUCUUGGUUGUUCUUCAUUGGAGCUAUUUGAAGAUUUUUGAAAAGCUACAAAGGAUGACUUUGAACUUUAGAGAGAGAGGUUUGUCAAUGGAGCUGCUCAAGAAGAAUUUUCAACAAUGGAGAUAUAAAGUUUAGCAAAAGAGGUUUGUCAAUGGAGCUUCGAUGAGAAUUUUUCAACAAUGGAAGAUGUAAAAUUUAGCGAAAUGGUAGCCGAAAAAUUAUGGCCGUUAGAGGACUUAAUCACAGCUAUCGAAGCUUAGGCCUAUUAAGGAACUCUUAAAAGUAAUUGGAAAUGAAAGAAGUAGUUCAUGUCUUUUAUAAA